GAUGAACGCUGGCGGCGUGCCUAAUACAUGCAAGUCGAGCGAACGGACGAGAAGCUUGCUUCUCUGAUGUUAGCGGCGGACGGGUGAGUAACUCGUGGAUAACCUACCUAUAAGACUGGGAUAACUUCGGGAAACCGGAGCUAAUACCGGAUAAUAUUUUGAACCGCAUGGUUCAAAAGUGAAAGACGGUCUUGCUGUCACUUAUGGAUGGAUCCGCGCUGCAUUAGCUAGUUGGUAAGGUAACGGCUUACCAAGGCAACGAUGCAUAGCCGACCUGAGAGGGUGAUCGGCCACACUGGAACUGAGACACGGUCCAGACUCCUACGGGAGGCAGCAGUAGGGAAUCUUCCGCAAUGGGCGAAAGCCUGACGGAGCAACGCCGCGUGAGUGAUGAAGGUCUUCGGAUCGUAAAACUCUGUUAUUAGGGAAGAACAUAUGUGUAAGUAACUGUGCACAUCUUGACGGUACCUAAUCAGAAAGCCACGGCUAACUACGUG
rnacentral:rRNA from 1 species